rnacentral:sRNA from 1 species
CUCCGCUUGCAUCCUCGCGACUAAUGACAACCCUCAAUCCCACCCGGGAUGAAGCCUCUCAUUAGCCGCGCGAACCUCUGCAACUGGAGAUCACACUCAGCAACAAUACAAUAGUUUGGUCUGAAUUGCUGCCUUCAACCUGAAAAAAGGGGCCGUAAGGCCCCUUUUA